rnacentral:lncRNA from 1 species
AAAUAGUUUUUUUAUAAAAUAGUUAUUGUUGUUAUAAAAUAGUGGUUUAUAUAAUUGUUUUUAUAUAAUAGUUUAAUCGUUGUAUAAUAGUUUUUUAUAGUUGUAUUUUCCGAACAUUUUGCUGUUGACUUCGUAUAGCUUCUAGCUGUAGAAGUACUUUAACGACUGUAUUUAGUUGUAAGCAGUGAAUAAAUAAACAUAAGUAAAUAUUUUCAAAAGCUGCCGGUAUAUAGAUCAAUUUUCCCUCAAGGAGUAUGAGUUAGCCUACAGUAGAAAAAGUUUUUCAAGGGUAACAACUUGGACAUAGUUACUAACAUGGACAUACCUAGUUUUUUUUGUAUUUAGAGCUUAGUAAUAGUUUUUACACAGGUCAACAAAUGAAGGCAUUCAAGAAUUUAAAUUCUUACAAAUAUUUUGAGACAACGCUCCUGCUCAUCCCUCUGAAAAUAUUCUAUGAUCAAAACAUGGCAACUUUAGUUGUAUGUUUUUGCCAAAAAAUACAACAUCGCUUAUUCAACCCAUGGAUCAGGAAAUAAUUUUAGCAACAAAA